rnacentral:rRNA from 1 species
AUUGAACGCUGGCGGCAGGCCUAACACAUGCAAGUCGAACGCGUCGCAGACGGGUGAGUUAUGUCUGGGACACCGCCUGAUGGAGGGGGAAAUCCAGUGGAAACGGUAGCUAAUCCCGCAUACUAUGAGAUGUGCCCAGAUGGGAUUAGCUUGGUGGUGGGGUAACGGCUCACCAAGGCGACGAUCCCUAGCUGGUCUGAGAGGAUGACCAGCCACACUGGAACUGAGACACGGUCCAGACUCCUACGGUAGGCAGCAGUGGGGAAUAUUGCACAAUGGGCGCAAGCCUGAUGCAGCCAUGCCGCGUGUGUGAAGAAGGCCUUCGGGUUGUAAAGUACUUUCAGCGGGGAGGCGUUACCCGCAGAAGAAGCACCGGCUAACUCCGUGCCAGCAGCCGCGGUAAUUC